GAGUAGUUUUGGACCCGUGUCUGCCGGUAGAUCCCCCGUCUUUGUGCRGCUGACUACCGGCGCCGUGUCCCGUCAUUCGUGUGGCUUAUGCUGCUGUUGCCUUUAAGUGCUUGCGUGCUGGUACCCGACCUACGGGAAGUGGUGCUUUGUACACGGUUAACUCGCGGUGUACACCUCCGGGUGUGAUGCUGCGGCCUACUAGCGCUUGCGGCGUUUCCUCGUGUCACUGGCACGCUCAAGUGCUCGGUGCUACCAAGGCAACCUCGCUCCCGCUGUUGGUCUUGGAUGCUGCUCACGAUAUAGUGUCGUGGCCCUUCUGGUUGCCUCGACCCGACCCUCGAGAUAUGCUCUCCGAAUUUGAGAAAACCCGUGAACAGGUGUUGCCUCUACCUCUCCACAGUUAGUGGUAGGAUUACGCAACAUUCUGCGCCGAUCCUCAAUCAAGUAGGAUGAGCUUGGCCCGAUAAAUCGCGACAGCCGGCUCGGAAGUUUGCCUCAGCCUAUCCACGGAAGUGGACGGGCGGACAACGACCGUAGCUGGACGUCAACGAGGACGUGCUACCUGGUUGAUCCUGCCA
rnacentral:misc_RNA from 1 species